rnacentral:rRNA from 1 species
UACGUAGGGUGCGAGCGUUGUCCGGAAUUAUUGGGCGUAAAGGGCUCGUAGGCGGUCUGUUGCGUCGGGAGUGAAAACUCAGGGCUUAACCCUGAGCCUGCUUCCGAUACGGGCAGACUAGAGGUAUGCAGGGGAGAACGGAAUUCCUGGUGUAGCGGUGAAAUGCGCAGAUAUCAGGAGGAACACCGAUGGCGAAGGCCAGGUCUCUGGGCAUUAACUGACGCUGAGGAGCGAAAGCAUGGGGAGCGAACAGG